ACAAGCCUCCCCAUCAACGGCAAGGUCCAUGAUUAAGGGGGGGGGGGGUGAUAUGCACCUAUAAACAUGGACAAUGAGAAAAAAAACUGUAACUACUGGCCCACUUCACUUUUCUAAUUCAUUUCAGCCAGUUUUUUAGUCUGUGGCCUGUGACAGAAUACUGAUUCAUUUUCUGGCCCACUUCACUUUUCUAACUUAUUUCAGCCAGUUUUUUAGUCUGUGGCCUGUGUCAGAAUACUGAUUCAUUUUCAAAGUGAACUUGUUAAAUGACUCAAUUUGGUUUUCAUAAUGGAUGCUCUAUGUUAACUUAUAACAAUUUCAGUCACAAACUAUUGCACAUUAUUUAAGUACCUGGAAGUUGGCUUAUACUAGGGUUGUACCAAAAGCAAGGUUCCCAUAUUUUUUACAAAUAGAAACCAUUGUUUAUUGUAAUUAAUUUAUACAUUGUUGAGAAGCUUACACUUUUGUCUAUUUUUCUACACAGUCUCCAUUUGUUUUGACACACUUUUGAAGACGGUGCUCCAGCUUUUGUAUUCCUAAGUCGAAGAAGUCUCCCACCAACCCAUUGAGGAAGCAUGUGACCUCUGCUCGGACUUCAUUGUCGCUCUUGAAGCAUUUGCCACCGAAGUGUUCCUUUAGCUUGGGGAAGAGACGAUAAUCGUUGGGGGCUGUACAGGGGAUGGGGCAUAACAGUCCACCCAAAUUUCUUCGAAAGCUCCUGUGUUUGACGAGCGACGUUGGGUCAAGUGUUGUCAUGAAGAAGCACUACUCCUUCCGUCAGUCAUCCUCUCCGGCGAUUCUGGAUUGCGCGUCGGAGUUUGGUCAAUGUUUCACAAUAUCUGCCUGACUUUAUUGUCAUCCCAGGUUGCAUGAAAUCGAUGAGGAGUACCCCCUUCUGAUCCCAAAACACAGUCGCCAUUAGCUUUCCUGCCGACUGCAUUUGUUUGAAUUUCUUUGGUGGGGGGUGAACCGGAGUCAUGCCACUGACGAGAUUGUUGUCCAGGGGACCCAGUGAGCACACACCUUGUUAUAACCCAAUGUUUCUGUUCAAGUUCUUUCAAUUGUGCCUUGGGAAGCUUCAGGAACGUGUUCAUUAAGUUCAUGGACAGUGAUCCUCCGAUCUUGGGGUGUGAGCAGCACACUGUUGAUCUUCUGGACAAUCACACUGGCAGUCUUCCACUCCAUUAUUCAUCAUGAACUUCCAUGUGACCCUCAGGAUAGGCCCUGCGUCAUUUGCAGUUGUGCUGAAUGGACAUGCAUUCUUCACCAUAAACCUCAGUCAGUUGCUGAUGAAUCUCCACGGGCGGUAACUUCCUUGUGUGGAGAAAUUGGAUUACUGCUUGAGCCUCGCACUUGGCAGGAGCGGCUAUCAAUACUUCCAUUUCUGAUGGCUGCCAAGCCAACACUGAGUGAGGUAGCGAAUCACAGACGGGCGAGCUUGGGAGUGGGGGAACCACUGCACACGGCACUGUUGUCGGAUUUAUCCUAGCACCUUCUCUCGAGGCUGUAGCUCAUUGGGAACCUUACUUUUGGUACAAACCUUGUAUUACAAUAUUUGUGGACUGAUGAACAAUUGAAUGGGCGAGUUGAAAAAGGUACACAUUCCACAAAUUUAACUGAGAUAGCCAUUUUCUUCUUUGGACAUAUCGACAUCCAUUGAGCAUAAAAAAGAACAUCUUCCUCUACUUCAAAUGCGCUUGCCAACAAUAAUUAGAUACAAGUGAGUUGAAGAAGAAACAUAUUCCUGGAAUAUGUUCCUUCUUCAACUCAAAGCCUGCUAGCGACACCCACCACAGCACUAGUGCUUGCUGCUCAGUCAUGUGUUUGGCGUGUAAUGUAGCAGAUGAACGAGCUGUUUAAGGUUAUGUAUGUUAUGUUUACAGUGUAAAGUGAUACGAUCAGUGCCAAAAUUACUUUAGUGAAGUUUAUCAGUUUUUGGUUUACUUUAACCAAGUAACAAUGUCAACAAUAUACAGUGACAGCGGUGAACCAAGACGUAAAAAGGGAAGACAUCACAAAGAAAAACAUGUAUGGGAGAUGGAAAAGUUAGCAAGGCGUCGUGGUGAGGAGUUUGUAACUUCAGCAGGCGUUCGUGUUCCAGCCAAAACAACCAGCCCUAACUGUAAGUGUAGGAAGAAUGCAUGGAUAGUUUCUGUAUUGAGGAAAAGGAGAACAUUACUAAAACCCUAUAUAGUGGCAGACCUAAGAACGAGCAGGACACAUUGUUAAUGAGCCUAAUUGAGAGGUAUGAGGUUGCAAGGCACAGGCCAUCAAAUGAAAACUCCAAACCACACGAGUCCUCUUUCAAGUACGUUGCCAUGAAAGGGACAAGCAGAGUUGAAGUAUGUCGUAAUGCUUACAUAAGCCUACAUGCGGAGUCACACAAAGUUGUCAUUAGGUUGACACAUAUUUUGGCCUCUGGGAAAUCCCCUAUUGACAUGAGAGAUAAACAUGAAAACCGUUCUAAUGCUGUUCCAGCCUCACAUCUAGUUAAAGUACAUGAACAUAGUGAUUCAUUUCCAAAAUAUGUUGCUCGCUAUAUAUCUACACCAGUCACAUAUCUCGAUGCUCAACUUAAUGUGGCAAAAAUGCAUUAACUUUUCAUAUACAAAUUUCCUGACAUGAAGAAUGUAAUUAAGUAUUGGUUUUACUUGGAUUAUUUCAAGAAAAACUUUAGUUACUGAUUUGACAGACCUCAGGUCGAUGUCUGCAGUACUUGUGAAGACCUGACGAUCAAAAUUAAAUCAAACAUGAUUAAUAACAAUGCAAAAUGUGUAGCAUCUGCUGAAUUAAUGGUGAUUAACAGAUGUGCUAAGCGUUUUUAUAACAAGAUGCAGGAAAUAAAAGAACUAUCAAAAUCCAGGCCUGAUGUCAUGGGAAUUGCUUUCGAUUAUAUGCAAAACCUGCCACUACCACUGCAGCCUGUACAAGAAAUAUUUUACCUUAGAAAACGAUGGUUCUAUGUCUUCAGUGUUUAUGAGAUAAAAAAUGACAAGGCCUAUUUUUAUACCUACCCAGAAGGUGAGGGAAACAAAGGGCCAAAUGAUGUAUGUUCAAUGGUUUUGGAUUUUAUCGCACAUCACAUUCCGGAAGAAUGUAGCGAUGCUUGUGGAGGCCAAAAUAGAAAUCAUGCUCUGUGCAGACUUUUGUGCUCCUUGACCAUGAACAGUAGAUUCAAGGUUGUACAUCAGUAUUAUCCCAUUAGAGAGCAUAGGUUUAUGCCAUGUGAUCGUAUUUUUGGCACAGUGAAGCGUGAAGUCUGGCGACAUGAUCGUGUCUGCUCACCUGAACGGUACAACUCAAUGAUUGGUAGUGCGAAGAAAACACAGCCUACUUUCGAAGUGACUACUAUGCAAUGUGAUUUAGUUUUGGAAUUCAAGAACUGGUGGCCACAGUACUUUGUGAAACAGCCUAAAAGUGUAGAAAGCAGAGCAGUUCCUUUCAAAAUAAGCACAUACAGACACUUCGUUUUCAAAAGUGAUGCAAAAGGGUUUGUUGAAACAUCCGCCUAUAUUGACAACCCCGUAAAAUGAACCUUCAAGCUGAAGAAAACAAACACUGUUGAAAUUCCUGACACCAAGGCAUAUCCAAUGGAAAAGGUUCCCAUAAAGAAAGAGAAACUGCAGGAUCACCAGAAAGUUAAACACUACAUCCCAGAUAAGCAUCAACCUUUUUUUGAUGAAAGACUCUCUUGACCAACCAGAGAUACAAGAGUUGUUAAUGAAGAUGCUGAUGAUGAUGACCAACUGAUCCACCUACAAGCUGCUGAUCGACUAGAAUAAGAAGAUUGGCGACUGUCUACUAUGAGAAGUCCAACAGUGAAAAAUGUUUAAUUGGAAAACAUUAUUUUUUUGUAAAUAUAUGUAGCCAACAGUUUUGAAAUAUAUUUUUUGCCUUUUUACAAAGA